rnacentral:misc_RNA from 1 species
CAGAGUUCUCGCCCUCGCGGGUAGAUCUCCCACCCACUGUUAUCGUUACUAUCGUUGCUUUGGCGGGCCGCCGGGCCCUGCCCGGCCCCCGGCCCCGGCUGGGGUGCGCCUGCCAGAGGACCCCCAACUCUGUGUUUAGUGUCGUCUGAGUACUAUAUAAUAAGUUA